UGCCCACUAGCUAGCCCACCCAACCAACACCAACUAACCCCUAUUAAUACCCCCAAAUACACAAACCCCCAUUAAACAAACCAUUUUUCCCCCCUAGUAUGGGCGACAGAAAAGGACACACGGAGCCAUAGAGAAAGUACCGCAAGGGAACGCUGAAAGAGAAAAUGAAAUAACCCAGUAAAGCCUAAAAAAGCAGAGAUUCAACCUCGUACCUUUUGCAUCAUGAUUUAGCCAGUGAGCCCCGAGCAAAGAGAACUUUAGUUUGAAAACCCGAAACUAAGUGAGCUACUCCAAGACAGCCUAUAAUAGGGCAAACCCGUCUCUGUGGCAAAAGAGUGGGAAGAGCUUUGAGUAGAGGUGACAAACCUACCGAACCUAGUAAUAGCUGGUUGCUCGAGAACUGAAUAGGAGUUCAGCCUCCCGGCUUCUCCCUUCCCCUUAAUUCUGUCCCUCCCUGAUUUAAUUGAGAAACCGAGAGAGUUAUUCAAAGGGGGUACAGCCCCUUUGAAACAAGACACAACUUUUCCAGGAGGGUAAAGAUCAUA
rnacentral:rRNA from 1 species